UUGGGAUAGCUGCAUAGGUAGAGCAUGAGACUCUUAAUCUCAGGGUUGUGGGUUCGAGACCCACAUUGGGCAAAA